rnacentral:rRNA from 1 species
UACGGGGGGAGCAAGCGUUGUUCGGAUUUACUGGGCGUAAAGGGCGCGUAGGCGGUCAGCACAAGUCGGUUGUGAAAUCUCCGGGCUUAACUCGGAAAGGUCAACUGAUACUGUGCGACUAGAGUGCGGAAGGGGCAACUGGAAUUCUCGGUGUAGCGGUGAAAUGCGUAGAUAUCGAGAGGAACACCUGCGGCGAAGGCGGGUUGCUGGGCCGACACUGACGCUGAUGCGCGAAAGCUAGGGGAGCGAACGGG